rnacentral:misc_RNA from 1 species
GAGGUGUUUUUAGCUCGUGGAUUUCAGCUUGAAAGGACCAGCAGGGCUGCAAAUGUCCAGUACAUUGAGGUUGCCCUGUCACAGUUGUGGGGAAUGAGUUCUUCGAGGGCAUCUUCACCAUUUGGAGGUCUAGUUGGAUNUCAUCUUGAUUUCAGUAUGCUGUACCAUAUAUUUUGGACCUUACAAAGAGAUGGAAUGACACCAAAGAUGACGUAAUCAACUUGUUUAAUUUCCCAAGCCUUUUUAAAAUUGUAUGUAGUGGC